UGGCUCAGGACGAACGCUGGCGGCGUGCUUAACACAUGCAAGUCGAACGGAAAGGCCCUUCGGGGUACUCGAGUGGCGAACGGGUGAGUAACACGUGGGUGAUCUGCCCUGCACUUUGGGAUAAGCCUGGGUAAACUGGGUCUAAUACCGAAUAUGACCACGCUCUUCAUGGGGUGUGGUGGAAAGCUUUUGCGGUGUGGGAUGGGCCCGCGGCCUAUCAGCUUGUUGGUGGGGUAAUGGCCUACCAAGGCGACGACGGGUAGCCGGCCUGAGAGGGUGACCGGCCACACUGGGACUGAGAUACGGCCCAGACUCCUACGGGAGGCAGCAGUGGGGAAUAUUGCACAAUGGGCGCAAGCCUGAUGCAGCGACGCCGCGUGAGGGAUGACGGCCUUCGGGUUGUAAACCUCUUUCAAUAGGGACGAAGCGCAAGUGACGGUACCUAUAGAAGAAGCACCGGCCAACUACGUGCCAGCA
rnacentral:rRNA from 1 species